UACAGAGGUGGCAAGCGUUGUUCGGAAUUACUGGGCGUAAAGGGCGCGUAGGCGGCCUUGUAAGUCCUGUGUGAAAUCCCCCGGCUCAACUGGGGAACUGCACAGGAGACUGCUUGGCUUGAGUUCGGGAGAGGGAAGCGGAAUUCCGGGUGUAGCGGUGAAAUGCGGUAGAGAUGUGGAGGAACACCGAUGGCGAAGGCAGCCCCCUGGGUCAAGAUUGACGCUCAUGCACGAAAGCGUGGGGAGCAAACAGG
rnacentral:rRNA from 1 species